rnacentral:lncRNA from 1 species
CGGGUGGGCUUCGAAUGGCCCAAGAGAGAACAAAAAUUUAAAUGGGCCCCCAAUCGGGCUCGGACAAAAACGGGUGUCUACAACUGCCCCUCUUUGUUCGUGGCUUGCGUAGCAAGGAACGUACAAAGACGUAGACACCUAACCACUAUCAAAUCCCACUCAACAUCGCAGUAAAAAGAAUAACAAGUUUUUGCAAUUACCUAAAUUGAAACAUAUCAAAACAUAUUACGUUAUCCAAAGCUACAAAUGUAGAUACCAAACCUA